CGGAACGCUGGCGGCGUGCCUAACACAUGCAAGUCGAAGGUCCGGCACUCAACGACCCUCAGUCUAACUGUAGGGGAAGUUGAGUGCCGGGUAGUGGCGGACGGGUGAGUAACGCGUGGGCAACCAACCCUGUACAGUGGGAUAACACCGGGAAACCGGUGCUAAUACCGCAUGACACCUAUAUGGUGCAUACCGUAUAGGUUAAAGGAUUUAACCGGUACAGGACGGGCCCGCGUCCCAUUAGCUAGUUGGUGAGGUAACGGCCCACCAAGGCGACGAUGGGUAGCCGACCUGAGAGGGUGACCGGCCACACUGGGACUGAGACACGGCCCAGACUCCUACGGGAGGCAGCAGUGGGGAAUAUUGCGCAAUGGGGGGAACCCGUGACGCAGCGACGCCGCGUGAGCGACGAAGGCCUUCGGGUCGUAAAGCUCUGUUCUUGGGGACGAAGGAAAUGACGGUACCCAAGGAGAAAGCCCCGGCUAACUACGUG
rnacentral:rRNA from 1 species